AUUGAACGCUGGCGGCAGGCCUAACACAUGCAAGUCGAACGGUAACAGGAAGAAGCUUGCUUCUUUGCUGACGAGUGGCGGACGGGUGAGUAAUGUCUGGGAGACUGCCUGAUGGAGGGGGAUAACUACUGGAAACGGUAGCUAAUACCGCAUACGUCGCAAGACCAAAGAGGGGGACCUUCGGGCCUCUUGCCAUCGGAUGUGCCCAGAUGGGAUUAGCUAGUAGGUGGGGUAACGGCUCACCUAGGCGACGAUCCCUAGCUGGUCUGAGAGGAUGACCAGCCACACUGGAACUGAGACACGGUCCAGACUCCUACGGGAGGCAGCAGUGGGGAAUAUUGCACAAUGGGCGCAAGCCUGAUGCAGCCAUGCCGCGUGUAUGAAGAAGGCCUUCGGGUUGUAAAGUACUUUCAGCGGGGAGGAAGGGAGUAAAGUUAAUACCUUUGCUCAUUGACGUUACCCGCAGAAGAAGCACCGGCUAACUCCGUG
rnacentral:rRNA from 1 species